CAUUAAAGAGUUUUAUAACUCCCUAAAACCCAUGUGAACAUACCUUACGUUGCCUCGGCAGGUCGCGCCUACCCCGUAACGUCCUACCCUGUAGGACCUACCCGGUAGACACGGGUAAGCCUGCCGGCGGCCCACGAAACUCUGUUUAGUAUUGAAUUCUGAACCUAUAACUAAAUAAGUUAAAACUUUCAACAACGGAUCUCUUGGUUCUGGCAUCGAUGAAGAACGCAGCGAAAUGCGAUAAGUAAUGUGAAUUGCAGAAUUCAGUGAAUCAUCGAAUCUUUGAACGCACAUUGCGCCCAUUAGUAUUCUAGUGGGCAUGCCUGUUCGAGCGUCAUUUCAACCCUUAAGCCUCUGUUGCUUAGUGUUGGGAGCCUACGGUAUAGUAGCUCCUCAAAGUUAGUGGCAGAGUCGGUUCACACUCUAGACGUAGUAGAUUUUAUCUCGCCUAUUAGUUGGACCGGUCCCUUGCCGUAAAAACCCCCUAAUUUCUAAAGGUUGACCUCGGAUCAGGUAGGAAUACCCGCUGAACUUAAGCAUAUCAAUAA
rnacentral:rRNA from 1 species